AAUAAGAAAUUAGAAAAAAAAAAAAACAGUCGCACACGAUCUCCAGAUUAGAGGAGAACUGCCCGGGCACGAUCUCAACACAGACGAAGGCUCAAUACGACGUGGGAAUUGAUCGGAGUACAAAUGGAAUUGCCCGGGCAGGAUCUACAUCAGUACUCAUUCCUCUUCCAAUUUACAGUUCUUGCAAACGUAGAAAACAAACACAGAAAGAAGAACAGAGCGGAAUCAAACCCAGAAGGAGGAGAAAGAGAAAGAAACAAAUCGGCUGCCAGUUUGCAGACUUGAUAAUUCCCAUUGGGUGAAGGAAAAUAAUCUCAGUGUUCAACCAAAACAGUCACAUUAUUUGGGUUCGCAUUAUCACAGAGGUACAGCUGGAGGUCCAGACUUGAAAAGUUUCAUUGUCCAAUUUCCUGUGUCCCGAGAAGGUAGUUCAGUUAAAGGAAAAUAAAGAUAAAUCUCGCUUAAGGGGGUUUUGUUUUGAGUCUCUCUGUGUUAGAUUGUGUGAUCUUCAUUCAAUAGCAAUGCUAUCAAACUAUUGCUUUAAAGCUGCAGGUCCAGACUUGAAAAGUUUCAUUGUCCAAUUUCCUGUGUCCCGAGAAGGAAGUUUAGUUAAAGGAAAAUAAAGGUGCAGGAAAGCAGGGGUAGGUACACGAAACCAACCAUAGAGUUGGAGGAAAACAAUCACAGAGGUUAACAACAUCAAUAACAUUAGUUUGGUCGCAAAGAAACAAUCACAGAGGUUCAAGCUCAUCAGUUCUGUACGUGAAUUCAACCAGAAAUAAAUUUGAUUUCUUUCUCUCUACACAGGAUUUCUUGGUGGCUCACACAGGUUCUCUGGGAGAAUUACACAUAAAUAUUGCUUGGAAGAUGCAUAACUGCACAGUCAUUUAAGGAGGCAUAGACGCAGCGCAGGUUAAUUAUCUUCGAUCUUCAAAUAGAGUUCAUGAAGAUGUGAUGUUAUGUUUUAUGACAGUUUAGAGGAACCUACCAGAUUCAAUGACAGAUAGGGAUAGUGUCAUGUUGUUCAGAAUGACUUGUGUUUCAUUCAUUGCAAGAAAGCAUGAAUUUGAAAAAUGUACUUGGAUUCCAAUCCAUGAUUGCACACUAUAUGCAGUGGCAAAAAUAUGG